rnacentral:lncRNA from 1 species
CCCCCGAUCUUCUGUCGGUAGCCCCGCAUUUGAAAAUAUAGAGAAAUUAGAGCUCGACUGUGCUUGGGAGGGUUCCACUGGAGGAACCUCAGCCCAAACCUCAGUUGGUGGAGCUACCGAUGGUGCUACGAUAACUUCAUCUUCUUUUGCCACCCCACCCUCAACGGACGGCACUUUAGGAAGUGCUGUCGAGGCCGACAGUGCCAAAAUUGGCUCAAAAAUCGAUACCGAUGGUACAUCAUAUUUUUUUAUCGAUAAAGUAGGAGCCUGACCCUUCUACGAUGGUUGGAAGGGUCC